rnacentral:tRNA from 1 species
GCCUGGGUGGCUCAGUAGGUAAAGCGUCCGACUUUGGCUCAGGUUGUGAUCUCACAGUUUGUGGGUUCGAACCCCACGUCGGGCU